rnacentral:lncRNA from 1 species
GAGGUUCUGGUCGGGCUGCGCGGUCUGUCCGGCGUGUGCGGGAUGCAGGUUCCACAGCUUCUGGUGCUUUUCGGUAGCCAGACUGGCACAGCUCAGGACGAGGCGGAGAGGCUGGGCCGCGAGGCCCGGCGCCGGCGGCUAGGUUGCCGCGUGCAAGCUUUGGACUCUUACUCCGUGGUGAGGCUCGGGCGCUACGGCGGAGACCUUCCACCGGACUUCCCGUCCUCGGACGGAGGACGUUUGAAUGCGGCCCUUUGGGCCCAAGCGAAUUUAGGGAAAAGGGAGGCACGAGGCUGAGGCCCGAGAAAGAGAAACCCCGAUAGCCACUGGGAAUAAUUGUCCAAACACUUUUACUCUGUUACCCUAGGUGAAGGUGGUGGGAUGCGGUUCAGGGAGGGCACUGAUCAGGGCCGCCAGAGACCUUACACCUACCUGUGUCUUGUCCUUGAGGCGAAUCUCAUUAGGGAGCCCCUGGUGAUAUUUGUUUGUGCGACUACAGGCCAAGGAGACCCUCCUGACAACAUGAAGACAGAAAACUGGCCUGAGCUGUGGUCCUAACACAGUUUCCUGUGGCUACAGAACUUCUGGAGGUUCAUAUUCCGGAAGAGCCUGCCAUCCACCUCCCUCUGUCAAAUGGAUUUUGCUGUCCUAGGCCUCGGGGAUUCCUCAUAUGCCAAGU